CUGGAGGUGUUGUAAGAUUUGAAAAACCAGUGAACUGAAGUAAGGGAGACCCUGCCCCAGCAGGUUCCUUUCCUAACGUUUAAGGACCGAAGGUUCUCCACCCAAGGAGAAAGAGGAUCUGUCAGAUGCCUUAAAUACCACAGACCAUACCGUAUUGUUGUCAUGCCUGUAGUCCCUAGCAGGAACUGCUCUUGAGUGGCUACACUUUUCUUCUUUGAGUGGAGUUCCAGACAGUAGUUCUGGGCAAUUGUUCUUCUGCCAUGAAAGCUCUUUCAUGCAAGCUUCACUUCUGUUCACAAGGCAGUUAUGAAGAGCAACAGUGAAUCUGACCAGAGGCCUAUUCAUUUCAAUCUGCUACUUGGCAAAGCGGCAAGAAGCUAUAAAAGUACUAGAGCUUUGUCUGCAAACUCAGGAAGAUGAGACUGCAUCAUUUUGCAUUCAGUUCACAUUAGGAUGGUUCUCUUUACAUCUCUAAGAGCUAGAAACAAUUUUUAAUUAAAACUGAAAUAGUACAGUUUUCCCUCCUUCUUUGUGACAUCUUUCUAGUUAUCACUUGUGAAUAGACGAGCAGAUUUUUUUCAAGCCCCGUCUGGCAGACUUUGUGAAUGCUGAAAGCAAGGCUUGCACAAAAACUAACACAAAAUGCAUGGUUUUACAGGAUUAGAUCUUGAUUCUAUUUUCUGUUUCCUACAUUCUGGGUCUGAAUGAGGCAAGACAAUUUUGGCUUACUCUGUUUAGACUUUUGUUUUACAUUGACUUUUUAUGGAGGAAGUGGAAAUACACCAAGAUAGAAAGGAGUGCUCAAAGUCACCAUUUAUAAAAAGAGAUGAGUGAACAAUGAAGUCUCUGUUGUACAAUGCAAAUAAACAUUCACAGAAAACAGUUGGACAAAAAACUAGUAGUCCAUUUAGCCACUCCUUCUGUUGGACGAAUCACAGAACCAAGAACAAAAUAUUACUUUGUUUACAACAAAAUGCAGCUGCUGAAAAUCUUAUCACUCCCCUCUGUGAGUCCAAUAGCUUCCUCUCACCUCCUACAUCAACAAGCUUCUGUCAUCUUCAAUAUACAUCCCUACCCCUUCCUAAACUUGGCGCAUUUCCUCCUCCUCCUCCUCUAACUUCUUUAGCUCUCCUUCCAAAUUUCCUUCCCAAAAGUCCCUUGUGAGUCUUUCACCCAUGCUUUGUCUGUGUUUUUCCACACCAUCCCUUAUGAUUGGAAUUCCUAUGUUUCCCUUGCACACUAAACAACCUGCUUCUACUCAAAAUCAUUCCUCAAAAUGCACAUUUUGUGUGAGGCCCUUCAACAACAGUGUUCUA